rnacentral:rRNA from 1 species
UACGGAGGGUGCAAGCGUUAAUCGGAAUUACUGGGCGUAAAGCGUCACGCAGGUGGCUGAGUCAGUCGAAUUGUGAAAGCCCUGGGCUUAACCUGGGAAUUGCAGUCGAUACUACUCAGCUAGAGUAUGGGGAGAGGGUAGUGGAAUUCCCGGUGUAGCGGUUGAAAUGCGUAGAAUAUCGGGAGGAACAUCAGUGGCGA